rnacentral:lncRNA from 1 species
CUUACUUGCCUGCUGGGAGACCACUGUUGCUCGAGGGCGUAUCAGAAGCAAGGUGGGGAAGCUGAGUGGAAGGAGGCAGAUGAACUGACAGAAGAACUAAUAUACUAAAGUUUGUUCUCUUUUGGUGCUGUUUGCUUGGCA